CGCUGCAACGGUGUGGAGCCUGGGCGUCCUUUUGUUUGUUCUAGUGUGUGGAGAGCUGCCAUUCUGGAAUGAGAGGGAGAUCGCUGCUGGACACCUGAUCUUCAAAGCUGGUGUGUCUAUGGCCUGCCGUCAUCUGAUAAGACGCUGCCUGGCCAAGGAUCCGAAUAAGCGACCCAGCCUCGAGAUGAUCCUGGAGCACAACUGGUUUUCAGAGAUCCUUAGGAACUAAGUCCAGGCACCUGUAUGGGUUUGUAGCAGACAAAUCAUGGGUGAGCAUAUUGGAGACUAAGCAAUGACUAAAUGUGUGUGAACAAAACCGUCCACUGUUUGCUUUCAUGUAAUGUCAAAGUAAUCUGAGAGCAUGAACACCAGAAAACACAACAGGAGUGAUUUGGAGAUCAGAAACAUUUUGUGGAUCAGCUUGACGAGUCAGUCGACUGAAUAAUACUGAAGUUUUUCAAGCUGCUUUUCAUCCGUUUCCCCCCUUCGAUAAUUAUUACCUUCACAUCCCCUUAACACAUGAUGGAAAUCAAUCUCACAUUAUGUUUUCACCACCACAGCACAGGUCUGCUACAAGAACACAUCCAGAGCUUUUUAGCUGAGGUUCAGAUCAUCUCCGUUCCUCAGCACCGUGUACAAACCACGCCAGGUCAGAAAGAAAGCCCCAUCAAUGAACAAGUCUAACCUACUGGAAGAUGCAACCAGAUCAGAUUUGGGCAUAAGCAUCUGGCAGAAGAUGACACGUCUUUGAGUCACCACAAUAAUCUACGAUCAACGACCACGUCUGUCGUCCUGAAAGCACUUUGACCUUCUCUGUGGUGGUGUAUGAGACAAGAGAGGAAACAAAACCAAUAAAAUAUUGAAUAAAA